GGGUCAGUAGGUUGGUCGUGCCACCGGUACGUACUGGUCUCACUGAUUCCUCCUUCCUGAAGAACCGUAAUGCCAUUAAUUUGGUGUUGCGGGGAAACAGGACUGUUACUUUGAAAAAAUUAGAGUGUUUAAAGCAAGCCAACGCUUGAAUACAUUAGCAUGGAAUAAUGAAAUAGGACGAUCGAUCCUAUUUUGUUGGUUUCUAGGAUUGACGCA
rnacentral:rRNA from 1 species